GAUGAACGCUGGCGGCGUGCCUAAUACAUGCAAGUCGAGCGAAUGGAUUAAGAGCUUGCUCUUAUGAAGUUAGCGGCGGACGGGUGAGUAACACGUGGGUAACCUGCCCAUAAGACUGGGAUAACUCCGGGAAACCGGGGCUAAUACCGGAUAACAUUUUGAACCGCAUGGUUCGAAAUUGAAAGGCGGCUUCGGCUGUCACUUAUGGAUGGACCCGCGUCGCAUUAGCUAGUUGGUGAGGUAACGGCCCACCAAGGCAAUGAUGCGUAGCCGACCUGAGAGGGUGAUCGGCCACACUGGGACUGAGACACGGCCCAGACUCCUACGGGAGGCAGCAGUAGGGAAUCUUCCGCAAUGGACGAAAGUCUGACGGAGCAACGCCGCGUGAGUGAUGAAGGCUUUCGGGUCGUAAAACUCUGUUGUUAGGGAAGAACAAGUGCUAGUUGAAUAAGCUGGCACCUUGACGGUACCUAACCAGAAAGCCACGGCUAACUACGUGCCAGCAGCCGCGGUAA
rnacentral:rRNA from 1 species